CAACUGGACAAUCAAUGUGUUUUGGAUAACGAUGACCUGCAUGAACAGCAUCCUCUAUGGUGUGAACUGCAGUGAACUGAUUUAGCCUCACCAGUCUCAGCUCAGGGAUGGAUCUGCUCAGCGUCCACUCCUGACUGUUGGCAAUAUUUACUGGAAAGACACAGGCAGAGACGAACAGUCAGGGAGGCAGAGACAGGAGGUGCUGUGGAGGAUGACCCCGCUGCCCCAGAGCUGCUCUUCGUGAAAAUGCC